rnacentral:rRNA from 1 species
GGUUAAGCGACUAAGCGUACACGGUGGAUGCCCUGGCAGUCAGAGGCGAUGAAGGACGUGCUAAUCUGCGAUAAGCGUCGGUAAGGUGAUAUGAACCGUUAUAACCGGCGAUUUCCGAAUGGGGAAACCCAGUGUGAUUCGUCACACUAUCAUUAACUGAAUCCAUAGGUUAAUGAGGCGAACCGGGGGAACUGAAACAUCUAAGUACCCCGAGGAAAAGAAAUCAACCGAGAUUCCCCCAGUAGCGGCGAGCGAACGGGGAGCAGCCCAGAGCCUGAAUCAGUGUGUGUGUUAGUGGAAGCGUCUGGAAAGGCGUGCGAUACAGGGUGACAGCCCCGUACACAAAAAUGCACAUAUUGUGAGCUCGAUGAGUAGGGCGGGACACGUGGUAUCCUGUCUGAAUAUGGGGGGACCAUCCUCCAAGGCUAAAUACUCCUGACUGACCGAUAGUGAACCAGUACCGUGAGGGAAAGGCGAAAAGAACCCCGGCGAGGGGAGUGAAAAAGAACCUGAAACCGUGUACGUACAAGCAGUGGGAGCACGCUUAGGCGUGUGACUGCGUACCUUUUGUAUAAUGGGUCAGCGACUUAUAUUCUGUAGCAAGGUUAACCGAAUAGGGGAGCCGAAGGGAAACCGAGUCUUAACUGGGCGUUAAGUUGCAGGGUAUAGACCCGAAACCCGGUGAUCUAGCCAUGGGCAGGUUGAAGGUUGGGUAACACUAACUGGAGGACCGAACCGACUAAUGUUGAAAAAUUAGCGGAUGACUUGUGGCUGGGGGUGAAAGGCCAAUCAAACCGGGAGAUAGCUGGUUCUCCCCGAAAGCUAUUUAGGUAGCGCCUCGUGAAUUCAUCUCCGGGGGUAGAGCACUGUUUCGGCAAGGGGGUCAUCCCGACUUACCAACCCGAUGCAAACUGCGAAUACCGGAGAAUGUUAUCACGGGAGACACACGGCGGGUGCUAACGUCCGUCGUGAAGAGGGAAACAACCCAGACCGCCAGCUAAGGUCCCAAAGUCAUGGUUAAGUGGGAAACGAUGUGGGAAGGCCCAGACAGCCAGGAUGUUGGCUUAGAAGCAGCCAUCAUUUAAAGAAAGCGUAAUAGCUCACUGGUCGAGUCGGCCUGCGCGGAAGAUGUAACGGGGCUAAACCAUGCACCGAAGCUGCGGCAGCGACGCUUAUGCGUUGUUGGGUAGGGGAGCGUUCUGUAAGCCUGUGAAGGUGUACUGUGAGGUAUGCUGGAGGUAUCAGAAGUGCGAAUGCUGACAUAAGUAACGAUAAAGCGGGUGAAAAGCCCGCUCGCCGGAAGACCAAGGGUUCCUGUCCAACGUUAAUCGGGGCAGGGUGAGUCGACCCCUAAGGCGAGGCCGAAAGGCGUAGUCGAUGGGAAACAGGUUAAUAUUCCUGUACUUGGUGUUACUGCGAAGGGGGGACGGAGAAGGCUAUGUUGGCCGGGCGACGGUUGUCCCGGUUUAAGCGUGUAGGCUGGUUUUCCAGGCAAAUCCGGAAAAUCAAGGCUGAGGCGUGAUGACGAGGCACUACGGUGCUGAAGCAACAAAUGCCCUGCUUCCAGGAAAAGCCUCUAAGCAUCAGGUAACAUCAAAUCGUACCCCAAACCGACACAGGUGGUCAGGUAGAGAAUACCAAGGCGCUUGAGAGAACUCGGGUGAAGGAACUAGGCAAAAUGGUGCCGUAACUUCGGGAGAAGGCACGCUGAUAUGUAGGUGAAGUCCCUCGCGGAUGGAGCUGAAAUCAGUCGAAGAUACCAGCUGGCUGCAACUGUUUAUUAAAAACACAGCACUGUGCAAACACGAAAGUGGACGUAUACGGUGUGACGCCUGCCCGGUGCCGGAAGGUUAAUUGAUGGGGUCAGCGCAAGCGAAGCUCUUGAUCGAAGCCCCGGUAAACGGCGGCCGUAACUAUAACGGUCCUAAGGUAGCGAAAUUCCUUGUCGGGUAAGUUCCGACCUGCACGAAUGGCGUAAUGAUGGCCAGGCUGUCUCCACCCGAGACUCAGUGAAAUUGAACUCGCUGUGAAGAUGCAGUGUACCCGCGGCAAGACGGAAAGACCCCGUGAACCUUUACUAUAGCUUGACACUGAACAUUGAGCCUUGAUGUGUAGGAUAGGUGGGAGGCUUUGAAGUGUGGACGCCAGUCUGCAUGGAGCCGACCUUGAAAUACCACCCUUUAAUGUUUGAUGUUCUAACGUUGACCCGUAAUCCGGGUUGCGGACAGUGUCUGGUGGGUAGUUUGACUGGGGCGGUCUCCUCCUAAAGAGUAACGGAGGAGCACGAAGGUUGGCUAAUCCUGGUCGGACAUCAGGAGGUUAGUGCAAUGGCAUAAGCCAGCUUGACUGCGAGCGUGACGGCGCGAGCAGGUGCGAAAGCAGGUCAUAGUGAUCCGGUGGUUCUGAAUGGAAGGGCCAUCGCUCAACGGAUAAAAGGUACUCCGGGGAUAACAGGCUGAUACCGCCCAAGAGUUCAUAUCGACGGCGGUGUUUGGCACCUCGAUGUCGGCUCAUCACAUCCUGGGGCUGAAGUAGGUCCCAAGGGUAUGGCUGUUCGCCAUUUAAAGUGGUACGCGAGCUGGGUUUAGAACGUCGUGAGACAGUUCGGUCCCUAUCUGCCGUGGGCGCUGGAGAACUGAGGGGGGCUGCUCCUAGUACGAGAGGACCGGAGUGGACGCAUCACUGGUGUUCGGGUUGUCAUGCCAAUGGCACUGCCCGGUAGCUAAAUGCGGAAGAGAUAAGUGCUGAAAGCAUCUAAGCACGAAACUUGCCCCGAGAUGAGUUCUCCCUGACUCCUUGAGAGUCCUGAAGGAACGUUGAAGACGACGACGUUGAUAGGCCGGGUGUGUAAGCGCAGCGAUGCGUUGAGCUAACCGGUACUAAUGAACCGUGAGGCUUAACCUU